CCAAAGUACUGUCUGAAUAAGACUAUACUUUGUGAAAUUCGUUAAGGUUCGAAUCUCGUGAUCAUCGUUAGGUUUGAUAUGGUUUUACACAAAUACGUAUUCCAUUCUGUUAAACUAUAUGUUUAACCAUCAGAAUACUCCCAACUAUACGCUUCCAAUCAAAAUGGAUGCUUAAUCAUCAGAAGAUCCAAAAUAAUAAAGUAUAUGCUUAAUUAUCAGAAGGAGUAGAAUCAAGAAGCUUGUUAGAUCAAUACUGCAUGCUUAUACAGUAAUUACAGUAGAUUGGAGUAAGGAUU
rnacentral:lncRNA from 1 species